rnacentral:rRNA from 1 species
UACGUAGGGUGCAAGCGUUGUCCGGAAUUAUUGGGCGUAAAGAGCUCGUAGGCGGUCUGUCGCGUCGGCUGUGAAAACCCGAGGCUCAACCUCGGGCCUGUAGUCGAUACGGGCAAACUAGAGUACUGCAGGGGAGACUGGAAUUCCUGGUGUAGCGGUGAAAUGCGCAGAUAUCAGGAGGAACACCGGUGGCGAAGGCGGGUCUCUGGGCAGUAACUGACGCUGAGGAGCGAAAGCGUGGGUAGCGAACAGG